CGGGGUGCACCAGGUGCGAAAACUUUACAAUGCUGGCAACAGCGAUAAGGGGACCUUGAGUGCCAGGAUACAAUCCUGGCUGUCGUGAUGCCUAAAAAGCAUUAUAUAGCAAGGGCCGGGCAAGACCGGUGCCAGCCGCCGCGGUAACACCGGCGGCUCGAGUGGUAACCGCUAUUAUUGGGUCUAAAGGGUCUGUAGCCGGCUUGGUUAGUCUCUUGGGAAAUCCGGCAGCUUAACUGUCGGGCUUUCAGGAGAUACUGCCAGGCUCGAGACCGGGAGAGGUGAGAGGUACUUCAUGGGUAGGGGUGAAAUCUUGUAAUCCUUGAAGGACCACCAGUGGCGAAGGCGUCUCACCAGAACGGAUCUGACGGCAAGGGACGAAAGCUAGGGGCACGAACCGGAUUAGAUACCCGGGUAGUCCUAGCCGUAAACGAUACUCGCUAGGUGUCGGCCACGGUGCGACCGUGGUCGGUGCCGUAGGGAAGCCGUGAAGCGAGCCACCUGGGAAGUACGGCCGCAAGGCUGAAACUUAAAGGAAUUGGCGGGGGAGCACAAGGGCGAUUCGC
rnacentral:rRNA from 1 species